UUUCCGUAGGUGAACCUGCGGAGGGAUCAUUAUCGUACAAUAUGAGAGAGACAUCCUAGGGCUGUCGCUUACCCGUUACUCGUGCACGCCCGCGUGUGUCCUCUUGCCUACUACUCCAUCACAACCUUUGUGCAUCCCCGCGUAGACACCCGUCGGUAUCAUCCCAGCGGUGAACUCUCGUUUUAACGGAACCCUCGCUUUUAAAAUCGUAGAAUAACCACGCUUAUGCGAACAAUACAACUUUCAACAACAGAUCUCUUGACUCUCUCCUCGAUGCAG
rnacentral:misc_RNA from 1 species